UACGUAGGUGGCAAGCGUUGUCCGGAUUUACUGGGCGUAAAGAGCGCGCAGGCGGUCGUUCAAGUCGCGUGUGAAAGCCCCCGGCUCAACUGGGGAGGGUCACGCGAUACUGAUCGACUCGAAGGCAGGAGAGGGUAGUGGAAUUCCUGGUGUAGCGGUGGAAUGCGCAGAUAUCAGGAGGAACACCAACGGCGAAGGCAGCUCGCUGGGACGGUACUGACGCUAAGGCGCGAAAGCGUGGGGAGCGAACAGG
rnacentral:rRNA from 1 species